rnacentral:rRNA from 1 species
GACGAACGCUGGCGGCGUGCCCAAUACAUGCAAGUCGAGCGGUCCCUUCGGGGAUAGCGGCGGACGGGUGAGUAACACGUAGGCAACCUGCCUGUAAGACCGGAAUAACUAUCGGAAACGAUAGCUAAGACCGGAUAGCUGGUUUUCUCGCAUGAGAGAAUCAUGAAACACGGGGCAACCUGUGGCUUACAGAUGGGCCUGCGGCGCAUUAGCUAGUUGGUAGGGUAACGGCCUACCAAGGCGACGAUGCGUAGCCGACCUGAGAGGGUGACCGGCCACACUGGGACUGAGACACGGCCCAGACUCCUACGGGAGGCAGCAGUAGGGAAUCUUCCGCAAUGGACGCAAGUCUGACGGAGCAACGCCGCGUGAGUGAUGAAGGUCUUCGGAUCGUAAAGCUCUGUUGCCCUAGACGAACAGCAAGGAGAGUAACUGCUCUUUGUGUGACGGUACAGGAGAAGAAAGCCCCGGCUAACUACGUGCCAGCCGCCGCGGUAA